rnacentral:rRNA from 1 species
AGAGUUUGAUCCUGGCUCAGGAUGAACGCUAGCGGCAGGCUUAACACAUGCAAGUCGAGGGGCAUCGCGGUGUGGCAACACACCGGCGGCGACCGGCGCACUGGUGAGUAACGCGUAUGCAACCUGCCCCCCGCAGGGGGACAACACCGGGAAACCGGUGCUAAUACCGCAUGUAACCGACGGCCGCAUGGCCGUCGGUGGAAAGCUACGGCGGCGGGGGAUGGGCAUGCGAGGCAUUAGGCAGUUGGCGGGGUAACGGCCCACCAAACCGACGAUGCCUAGGGGUUCUGAGAGGAAGGCCCCCCACACUGGCACUGAGACACGGGCCAGACUCCUACGGGAGGCAGCAGUGAGGAAUAUUGGUCAAUGGCCGAAGGGCUGAACCAGCCAAGCCGCGUGGAGGAAGACGGCCCUGCGGGUUGUAAACUCCUUUGGUGCGGGAGCAAAGAGGCCACGUGUGGCCAGCUGAGAGUACCGCAAGAACAAGCAUCGGCUAACUCCGUGCCAGCAGCCGCGGUAAUACGGAGGAUGCGGGCGUUAUCCGGAAUCAUUGGGCUUAAAGGGUGCGCAGGCGGCCCUUCAAGCCGGCGGUCAAAGACCGGGGCUCAACCCCGGUUCGCCGCCGGGACUGGGGGGCUGGCGUUGUCGCGGUGCAUGCGGAACGCGUCAUGUAGCGGUGAAAUGCAUAGAUAUGACGCAGAACGCCGAUCGCGGAGGCAGCAUGCAAGCGGCAUACGGACGCUGAGGCACGAAAGCGCGGGGAUCGAACAGGAUUAGAUACCCUGGUAGUCCGCGCAGUAAACGAUGGACACUUGCCGUGCGGGGGGCUUCCCCUGCGUGGCGCAGCGAAAGCGUUAAGUGUCCCGCCUGGGGAGUACGCCGGCAACGGUGAAACUCAAAGGAAUUGACGGGGGCCCGCAC